AGAGUUUGAUCAUGGCUCAGAUUGAACGCUGGCGGCAUGCCUAACACAUGCAAGUCGAACGCGAUCAGGGGCAACUCUGGUUGAGUGGCGGACGGGUGAGGAACGCAUCGGAAUUUACCUUGAGAUGGGGGAUAACCAAGGGAAACUUUGGCUAAUACCGCAUGAUCUCGCGAGAGCAAAGAGGGGGACCGCAAGGCCUCUUGUCUUGAGAUGAGCCGAUGUCCGAUUAGCUAGUUGGUAGGGUAAGGGCCUACCAAGGCGACGAUCGGUAGCUGGUCUGAGAGGAUGAUCAGCCACAUUGGGACUGAGACACGGCCCAAACUCCUACGGGAGGCAGCAGUGGGGAAUAUUGGACAAUGGGCGCAAGCCUGAUCCAGCAAUGCCGCGUGUGUGAAGAAGGCCUGCGGGUUGUAAAGCACUUUUGUCCGGAAAGAAAUCGCACGGAUUAAUACUUUGUGUGGAUGACGGUACCGAAGAAUAG
rnacentral:rRNA from 1 species